rnacentral:rRNA from 1 species
CUUGCUGCGGGUACUCGAGUGGCGAACGGGUGAGUAACACGUGGGUGAUCUGCCUUGCACUUCGGGAUAAGCUUGGGAAACUGGGUCUAAUACCGGAUAGGACAGCUGUUUAGUGUCAUUUUGUGGAAAGUUUUUUCGGUGCAAGAUGAGCUCGCGGCCUAUCAGCUUGUUGGUGGGGUAAUGGCCUACCAAGGCGUCGACGGGUAGCCGGCCUGAGAGGGUGUACGGCCACAUUGGGACUGAGAUACGGCCCAGACUCCUACGGGAGGCAGCAGUGGGGAAUAUUGCACAAUGGGCGGAAGCCUGAUGCAGCGACGCCGCGUGGGGGAUGAAGGCCUUCGGGUUGUAAACUCCUUUCGACAGGGACGAAGCGUAAGUGACGGUACCUGUAUAAGAAGCACCGGCUAACUACGUGCCAGCAGCCGCGGUAAUACGUAGGGUGCGAGCGUUGUCCGGAAUUACUGGGCGUAAAGAGCUCGUAGGUGGUUUGUCGCGUCGUCUGUGAAAUUCCGGGGCUUAACUCCGGGCGUGCAGGCGAUACGGGCUGACUUGAGUGCUGUAGGGGAGACUGGAAUUCCUGGUGUAGCGGUGAAAUGCGCAGAUAUCAGGAGGAACACCGAUGGCGAAGGCAGGUCUCUGGGCAGUAACUGACGCUGAGGAGCGAAAGCAUGGGUAGCGAACAGGAUUAGAUACCCUGGUAGUCCAUGCCGUAAACGGUGGGCGCUAGGUGUAGGGGGCUUCCACGUCUUCUGUGCCGUAGCUAACGCAUUAAGCGCCCCGCCUGGGGAGUACGCCGCAAGGCUA